rnacentral:lncRNA from 1 species
CCCCUGGGAACACAGUUAUGAAUAAACUGCAGAAGCUUGUAAUCCACUGCGGGUGACAGCCACCCAACAACAGCCAUCUGAAUGAUUACAAGAGAGCAAAACCCUACUCAGGGGAGGGCCAGGACCCGCUGGAAGUCUACUAGAUUGAUUGCCCUGUCUCUUUCGUCUGUGUGUUCUUCCAUUUCCCACCGUCAACAACAUCCCACCCAACAAGCCACUCCACCUAGAAACCAUUGCAUUGCCAUGUGAAGAACCCAGGCUCACAGACUACGUAUGUAAACGGG